rnacentral:rRNA from 1 species
CAAUAGCGUAUAUUAAAGUUGUUGCGGUUAAAAAGCUCGUAGUUGGAUUUCUGUUGAGGAAGUCCGGUCCGCACUUUGUGCGUGAUCUGGUUCUGCCUCGGCAUCCUCGCGGGGAACGCGCUGCGCUUGAUUGCGUGGUGCGGUAUUCGCGACUUUUACUUUGAGGAAAUUAGAGUGUUCACGGCAGGCUAUCGCCUUGAAUACGUUAGCAUGGAAUAAUAAUAUAGGACCUUGGUUCUAUUUUGUUGGUUUCUAGAACUAAGGUAAUGAUUAAUAGGGAUAAUUGGGGGCAUUUGUAUUAACACGUCAGAGGUGAAAUUCUUGGAUUGUGUUACGACAAACUACUGCGAAAGCAUUUGCCAAGGAUGUUUNCAUUG